rnacentral:rRNA from 1 species
UACGUAGGGUGCGAGCGUUAAUCGGAAUUACUGGGCGUAAAGCGUGCGCAGGCGGUUAUUAUAAGACAGAUGUGAAAUACCCGGGCCGUCAACCUACGGGAACGUAGCAUUAGUUGACUGUAUAGACGUAGAGUGCGGCAGAGGGGGAUGGAAUUCCGCGUGUAGCAGUGAAAUGCGUAGAUAUGCGGAGGAACACCGAUGGCGAAGGCAAUCCCCU